CCUACGGGUGGCAGCAGUGGGGAAUAUUGGGCAAUGGGCGCAAGCCUGACCCAGCAACGCCGCGUGAAGGAAGAAGGCUUUCGGGUUGUAAACUGCUUUUAUAAGCGAGAAAUAUGAUGGUAACUUAUGAAUAAGGAUCGGCUAACUACGUGCCAGCAGCCGCGGUAAUACGUAGGGAGCAAGCGUUGUCCGGAAUUACUGGGCGUAAAGGGCGCGUAGGUGGGCGCUUAAGUCAGGUGUGAAAACUCCGGGCUCAACCUGGAGACUGCACUUGAAACUGGGUGUCUUGAGGGCAGGAGAGGAAAGUGGAAUUCCUAGUGUAGCGGUGAAAUGCGUAGAUAUUAGGAGGAACACCAGUGGCGAAGGCGACUUUCUGGACUGUACCUGACGCUGAGGCGCGAAAGCGUGGGUAGCGAACGGGAUUAGAUACCCUGGUAGUC
rnacentral:rRNA from 1 species